rnacentral:tRNA from 2 species
GAGCAUAGCUCAGCUGGUAGAGCAAGUGACUCUUAAUCACUGGGUCGUGGGUUCGAAUCCCUCUGCUC